UACGAAGGGGGCUAGCGUUGCUCGGAAUCACUGGGCGUAAAGGGUGCGUAGGCGGGUCUUUAAGUCAGGGGUGAAAUCCUGGAGCUCAACUCCAGAACUGCCUUUGAUACUGAAGAUCUUGAGUUCGGGAGAGGUGAGUGGAACUGCGAGUGUAGAGGUGAAAUUCGUAGAUAUUCGGAAGAACACCAGUGGCGAAGGCGACUCACUGGCCCGAUACUGACGCUGAGGCGCGAAAGCGUGGGGAGCAAACAGG
rnacentral:rRNA from 1 species